rnacentral:rRNA from 1 species
GCGUGAGUGAAGAAGGCCUUAGGGUUGUAAAGCUCUUUCAAUAGGGAAGAUGAUGACGGUACCUAUAGAAGAAGCCCCGGCUAAAUCCGUGCCAGCAGCCGCGGUAAGACGGAUGGGGCUAGCGUUGUUCGGAAUUACUGGGCGUAAAGGGCGCGUAGGCGGUUAAUUAAGUUAGGCGUGAAAGCCCUGGGCUUAACCCAGGAACUGCGUUUAAUACUGGUUAACUAGAGUUUGGUAGAGGAAAGCGGAAUUCCUAGUGUAGAGGUGAAAUUCGU